UACGGAGGGUGCAAGCGUUAUCCGGAUUCACUGGGUUUAAAGGGUGCGUAGGCGGGCAGGUAAGUCAGUGGUGAAGUCCUUUGAGCUUAACUCGAGAACUGCCAUUGAUACUAUCUGUCUUGAAUAUUGUGGAGGUAAGCGGAAUACGUCAUGUAGCGGUGAAAUGCUUAGAUAUGACAUAGAACACCUAUUGCGAAGGCAGCUUACUACGCAUAUAUUGACGCUGAGGCACGAAAGCGUGGGGAUCAAACAGG
rnacentral:rRNA from 1 species